rnacentral:lncRNA from 10 species
GAUACAACCACAUUUCUACAUAAUUAUCCAAGAUAAAUCAAACCAACAACACAGCAUUGGUGAAUCGUUGGAAAAUAAAUAUAUUGCUGGUAGUCUUUGAGGACUUUGCUGAGAAUCUACAGCAGCGGUUACAAAAGUGUUUGAUGUAGUUUUUUUUUUUGAGAAAAAGGUUUUGUAACUUUUUUCUUUUUUCUUUUUUAAAUUAUACUUAAAGUUCUAGGGCACAUGUGCACAAUGUGCAGGUUGUUACAUAUGUAUACAUGUGCCAUGUUGGUGUGCUGCACCCAUUAACUCGUCAUUUACAUUAGGUAUAUAUCUCCUAAUGCUAUCCCUCCCCCCUCCCCCCACCCCACGACAGGUCCCAGUGUGUGAUGUUCCCCACCCUGUGAACAAGUGUUCUCACUGUUCAAUUCCCACUUAUGAGUGGGAACAUGUGGUGUUUGGUUUUCUGUCCUUGCAAUAGUUUGCUCAGAAUGGUGAUUUCCAGCUUCAUCCAUGU